rnacentral:rRNA from 1 species
UACGAAGGGGGCUAGCGUUGUUCGGAAUUACUGGGCGUAAAGCGCACGUAGGCGGAUAUUUAAGUCAGGGGUGAAAUCCCAGAGCUCAACUCUGGAACUGCCUUUGAUACUGGGUAUCUUGAGUAUGGAAGAGGUAAGUGGAAUUCCGAGUGUAGAGGUGAAAUUCGUAGAUAUUCGGAGGAACACCAGUGGCGAAGGCGGCUUACUGGUCCAUUACUGACGCUGAGGUGCGAAAGCGAGGGGAGCGAACGGG